UACGUAGGGUGCGAGCGUUGUCCGGAAUUAUUGGGCGUAAAGAGCUCGUAGGCGGCCCGGUAAGUCCGUUGUGAAAGUCAAAGGCUCAACCUUUGAACGCCGAUGGAUACUGCCGGGCUAGAGUCCGGAAGAGGCGAGUGGAAUUCCCGGUGUAGCGGUGAAAUGCGCAGAUAUCAGGAGGAACACCGGUGGCGAAGGCGGGUCUCUGGGCAGUAACUGACGCUGAGGAGCGAAAGCGUGGGGAGCGAACAGG
rnacentral:rRNA from 1 species